rnacentral:rRNA from 1 species
GACGAACCGUGCGAACGUUGUUCGGAAUCACUGGGCUUAAAGGGCGCGUAGGCGGGCGGCCAAGUCAGGGGUGAAAGCCCCCAGCUCAACUGGGGAAGUGCCUUUGAUACUGGUCGUCUCGAGGGAGGUAGGGGCGUGCGGAACUUCCGGUGGAGCGGUGAAAUGCGUAGAUAUCGUUUGGAACGCCAAUGGUGAAAACAGCUCGCUGGGGGUGUGGCUGACGCUG